CAGCAGCCAGACGAGGUCAACAGAAGC
rnacentral:piRNA from 1 species